rnacentral:tRNA from 1 species
AGUUAUUAGUUUUGUUAAACAAUAGAUUUUGAAAAUCUAUAAUAAAUGUUGAAUUCAUUUAAUAACUU